rnacentral:rRNA from 1 species
ACGAACGCUGGCGGCGUGCUUAACACAUGCAAGUCGAACGGAAAGGCCCUGCUUUUGUGGGGUGCUCGAGUGGCGAACGGGUGAGUAACACGUGAGUAACCUGCCCUUGACUUUGGGAUAACUUCAGGAAACUGGGGCUAAUACCGGAUAGGAGCUCCUGCUGCAUGGUGGGGGUUGGAAAGUUUCGGCGGUUGGGGAUGGACUCGCGGCUUAUCAGCUUGUUGGUGGGGUAGUGGCUUACCAAGGCUUUGACGGGUAGCCGGCCUGAGAGGGUGACCGGCCACAUGGAGAGUGAGACGCGGAGCACACUCCGGAGGGAGGCAGGAGGGGGAAAUAUGCCAGAGGGGGGCGACGCCGGAGGCAGCCGCGGCGGGGGGGGGAUGGCGGCGUUCGGUGGGUAAUCCCCUCCGGGGUGGGAGGGGGGGGGGGGGACGGUAAUGGGAAAAGAAGCCCCGGCUAACUACGGGCAAGCGGCCGCGGUAAUAGUCGGAAGCGCACAAGUCUGAAC